GUUACAUACUGUAGCUGUAGAGAGGAGAGGCAAAAGCAAAUGAGGUGGAUUAGCAGUGGUUGCUAACAAUGGCUGGUGUCAUAUUUCUGUGAAAUAUCUUCUCUGCUGCCCAUAGUGAGCUGCUAGCAUGUCCUACAGACUUCAGUCAGAGGCCUUUUCAGAUUCGUUGUGAGACUGACUGCUACUGCCAGCUGAAUAAACGGAACAAUGGACCCAAAACGCAGCGGAAAACUUACAAAGAAACAAAUCUGAAAUGUGACGAUGCAGGUUAAUGCUGUGACAAAAAGUUUCAGUAAUCUCAGGAACUUCUCUGACCCAGUCCGGAGUCUGGAAGUGGUGAAUGCAGCGGCGCUAUCAGCUCUAAUUGAUGGCAGCGCUAAAAUCAGAGUCAGAUGGCAUCGAUUUGGUUUUCCAGGAAUCUGCUGUGAAACAUUAGUUUCGUCAUGAAGACAUUUGGUUCCCAGUCGCCGUACAUUCUCAGCGUGACCGGAGUAAAGCCAGGCAGAUGGCCAGUGUGGGCUCCUGGAAAUCAGCCAGAACUCGUUUAUCAAAUGGAGUCUGGGAGCCAGUUCCCAAAACAACAACAACAGAAAACACCCAACGC